UGCAACUGCGUGGCGGGCUACACUGGGCCGCGCUGCGAGCAGGACGUCAACGAGUGCCUGUCCAACCCCUGCAAGAACGACGCCACCUGCCUGGACCAGAUCGGAAAGUACACCUGCAUCUGUAUGCCGGGUUUUGAGGGCGAGCACUGUGAGAAUGACAUCAAUGAGUGCAACAGCUCUCCGUGCCUGAACAGUGGGAAGUGUAUAGAUGAAGUCAGCCGCUUCGUCUGUGAAUGUCCUCAAGGAUUCACGGGCGAGACGUGCCAGGUUGAC